CUAAUAUAAACUCUUAUUUAUUUAGAAUACCACAUAAAAAUCAUAAAUAAACUCCAUAGACCAAAAUCUCACACUGCUAGACAUUUUGAGUCAAGUAGUUGAGCGCGCGUCGUCUGCUCAUGACAGUGUAAGGGCGGGCAAGUCAAUCGUCGUUUUAAUUCUCGAGUUUCUCUGUUACUUUGUGUCCCUUCCCGCCUGGCCACUCCGCAUUUGUCUCUUCAGGGUGAAGUGAGCCCUGGUGGCAGCCCUGAGGCAGUGUGGUGAGAGCAGAUACGGGAGGCAAAGGUGGGAGAGUGUGUGUGUGCGUGUGUGUGUGGUGUAGCAUGGCAGUGUAGAGGUGUUGUGCUGGUGAGGGGUGAGUAAUGGGGUGGACAGGAUUUGUGCUACUGAUUAAAUAGAAGUCCUGUGAAGUUAAGAUUUUCGUAGGAUCAAAAAGUUAAUGACAAUAGUAUUAAGUAGCGUGGGAGUGUUGCAUGGGGUGUCGUGGUGAUGGGAACAGUUGUUGGGGUGGUUAGGGCUCGGGGGUUGAUACAUCUCGGACCGUCAGCCCAACCAGCUCGGACCAUUCUGGAAUAUGAACUUGGAUAAUCGUCUCGCCGUCACUCAUGUCCAGCCCAGGUUUCAUUCGCAGACCGUGUUAAGCACAGGCAGUUUGGAGACGAGUGCAGCAGCUCGGCAUUCAGUCUGCCUACACAAACAAUGGCUUUUGGAUGUCCAGCAGCGCACACACUUUCAGAGACACCCGUGGCAAGUGCAAGACAGAGAAAGGGUGAAGAUGGAGAUUGUUAUAAUGUACACAGCAUAAUUGGUUCAACAUUUUUUUUUUUUUUUUUUUAGGCUGUAGGUAGUGCACAUAGUUUCAACCACAGGAUUUUGUGUGCAUUGUCAUUUAAUUUAAUGUCCAUAUUUAUUUAGCUAGAAGGAGUAACAAUUAUGAAAUUUUAUAAAAGUUAUUUACAAGAGACCUUGCAUUAUGAAGAUUUGUUUCAAGUUCUUGGCUUGGCCUGUGUUUAUCAUCACCAUCAUCUAUUUCAGUCAGUCUUUAUCGGCCUGCUAAAUUCAUGCAUUUUUUCAGUCAUUUACUUUGGUGGUGGUGUCAGUUCAGUGUGCAUAUCAGUCCCUUGUUAGGUGAGCCCUCUCUCCCAGCACACCCACACAUCCAUCUCACUGUGUUCUCUUCAGUCUCUUCCAAACUUAAUGGUCCUGAUUGCACAAAUAUGAAGCAUUACACUUCCUAGCAGUGGAAGUUCACACAGUCAUUACUGCAAGGUCUCUGUGCAGCUGUUAUAGGCAAGUUUUGUAGUUAUUCACAUAAAUGUGCAAUUUUAAGGAAGUGUUGUGUAUAAAUGGAUUUAUAUAUUUUUUUAAGAUGUAUUUAGGCUGAAAAUAUGAUUGAUUAUACAGCCAGCUUCUUAACUUUCUAGAACUUUGAUUGCUAUAUUAGACUAGAGAAUGAAGACCUGUAUUUUUUAAAAAGAUAAUAUUUAUGAUCAUAGUGUUACAAGGGACAAUGUACUGUCAAGUUGCUUGUUUAUCAAUAAUUAUUAAAAGCCAAAAAUGUAUUAGGUUUAGAUGCUGUUUGCAAAAAUUGUAAUAAGUUGAAAAUUUGCCCAAGUCUUUUUUAAUGAAAAUUCUCAAAAUGCUUAAAAAAAAAGCUGUAUAAACUUUCCAGAGACAAUGCAAUGAAAAUUUGUGUUUAAAUAAAAUAAUUAAGUGAAAUGAAGGGAGUUUCAAUUUUAUUUUAGCCAUAAUGUUGUACUGCUUUUAAUCUCCGGAGACUCUUCAGAGUAUUUUCGACUUAGUACUACAUUUUUCUGGGCAUUUUUGCACAUUUUCCAGCCAUUUUUGCACAUUUUCCAGCCAGUUUCAAAAUUCAGUACUACAUUUUUCUGGGCAUUUUUGCACAUUUUCCAGCCAGUUUCAAAAUUCUACAUUUUUUUUUGGCAUUUUACAGCUAUUUUUGCUCAUUUUCCAGCCAGUUUCAGAAAAUUAGGGCCAUUUUUGCCAAGCAUGAUCAUUCUUCAUUAGGUAGGAUGGAUUUGGUGGCCAUUUGAAUUGUUCAUUGUUCUUGCAGUUUAUGAUUGUGGACAAGCUUUUCAAAUAAAUUACCAGUUCUGAGAGGUUUUAUUAUUAUUCUUCCGAAUGCCUAAAAAAAGUAGUAAUGCUGUUUUCAGUUAGCAAAGCAGUUGCUUGAAAAAGAGAAAAUUUAUCAACAUCCAAUAUUAAUCUCGUAAUUUAUUAUUUUUAUUAUACAAUGCAUGUAGGUACAUUCACGGGACAAGGAGGGGAUAACCGGACAGUGCGGCAACGUAUUGACAGGAUAGAGUUGAGUAUCCCUCCUCCCUCCCUGGAAGGUGAAGCGAGGCAGAGGAUAGCAUCCAAUCUCCCAGUACAACAAAGCUUUCUGCAGCAGGAUGGGGAUUGUUGGCAGCACACACUGGUUUACUUCUCCCUUCAGUAAUGGCAGCACCUGUAGCAAGAUAUUAAAUUUUUAAACCUUGGUAAGAACACCUUGCUCCUACUUGUCCUAAUGUAGUACACGUCUGCCCUGUCUUGGAUACACCUGCACGAGGAAGUGAGCAGCUGUAGUCAUGAAAAUUGUGGGUCAGUGUUUAGAUAAAAGGUGAUUCCUCAAGCCAUUCUGAAGCGUGUAACAAUCAGUACAACCCAGUAUUUAAUUCUGAUCCGAAAUAAGAUCUGAAACCAAGAACAAAGGCUUUACAAGGACACUAAAUGAUAAAGAUGAAACAAUAUUACAAUCCCUAUUAAUAAAAGUAUAUAAUCUCGGGAGGGUUCAUCACCCAUCAUCUCUGCUGCAAGGGUGUUUGUGGAGCCGUAGUGUCAUCCACAGCUUCUGGAUUCCGUCCUUUGUGCUCGCCGCCCGUCUAGUGUAGUCCCCUCAUAACGCUUGAUCAGUCGGGGGAGCGUGGUACUUCAGGAACACUGGUAUCUCUG